rnacentral:tRNA from 1 species
GGCCAGGUGGUGAAGUGGUAACACGGCGCUCUGCAAAAGCGCUAUGCGCGGGUUCAAUUCCCGCCCUGGCCU